GUCUAACUGCCCUCAUAGGCUGCACUCCUUUGUUACGGAGUGAGAAAGCUUGAAGUGUUGCUUUAGGAGUUGACCAUUCUGCUACUUAGCAUAUCCUUCACAUGCCUGUUGGAGGAGGUCUUAAUUUGGGUAUGGGCCUUGUGAGGGGAGAGGCAGAGACAGUCUGCAGUAGUGAGGUGAUAUAUUGAAUUGACCGGAAGGCUCUCGUAGGGAAUGUGGGGCUGUUGGGUUGAUAAUGCUUCUGGCAUGCGUGCAUGGCUGGCUGCUAAUUGUAUACUUGGUAGGAUUGGUG
rnacentral:lncRNA from 1 species